UACGGGGGGGGGCAAGCGUUGUUCGGAAUUACUGGGCGUAAAGGGCUCGUAGGCGGCCAACUAAGUCCGACGUGAAAUCCCCAGGCUUAACCUGGGAACUGCGUCGGAUACUGGAUGGCUUGAAUCCGGGAGAGGGAUGCGGAAUUCCAGGUGUAGCGGUGAAAUGCGUAGAUAUCUGGAGGAACACCGGUGGCGAAGGCGGCAUCCUGGGACCGGCAUUGACGCUGAGGAGCGAAAGCCAGGGGAGCAAACGGG
rnacentral:rRNA from 1 species